CUCAAUACAAACAUUCACCAGUGUCACAUCAAGAAUAAAAACCUCACAGAAGAGAGAGAGAGAAGUUAAUAUUCAAGAAUGAAAGUCUGACUGAAAAAAGAGACAUGCAUAAAAAUAAACUUCUGAAGAUUCUUGGUAAGUUGGGAUUUCGUGAAGAACAUUUCUAGUAAUGUUGAAUUCUGGAUUGGUCUGACUGUCAGUGAGAAAAAGGGCGCAUGGAAAUGGAUCAAUGGCAGCACACUGACCUCUGGGUUCUGGAGGAACAAAGAGCCUAAUAAUGCCAAUGGUGGUGAAGACUGUGUUUUGUUUAUAUCAGCAAGAUGGAACGAUUGUCCAAUGUAAUGAUGCCCAUAAAUGGAUAUGUGAGGAGAACAUUUUAAAAUGACUUAUUGCAAUAAAUAUUUGUGCAUAAAGUGCAUUAUUUAAUCCCAAAUAGUGCUGUUAAACAUCAAACAUAUAUAGCAGAAAUGUUUCAAUGGUUUUUUUUACGUGCAAGUACAUAUUUAAAUCAUUAUUUUGGUACUUGUGUAUACCAUCUUAUAUCUAG